UGCGCAGGCGGCUUUGCAAGACAGAUGUGAAAUCCCCGGGCUCAACCUGGGAACUGCAUUUGUGACUGCAAGGCUAGAGUACGGCAGAGGGGGAUGGAAUUCCGCGUGUAGCAGUGAAAUGCGUAGAUAUGCGGAGGAACACCAAUGGCGAAGGCAAUCCCCUGGGCCUGUACUGACGCUCAUGCACGAAAGCGUGGGGAGCAAACA
rnacentral:rRNA from 2 species